rnacentral:misc_RNA from 1 species
UAUUUGAAACCUGAACAACCAACAAACGCUCUUUCUGGUUAGUGCGCUAAGUAAAGCUCUCUCAUUCAAGAGGCUACUUCUCCACCAAAAUCUACUGUUAUGUCUUCACUCUGUCUUUGCUAUCCGUCCUUUCUCUCGCUGUCAAUAAUCCCAUGUCCAGGAAAACUUCAAUUUUCUAUGGAUCAUCAUCAACUCUCUCUUCUUGCCAACUUGGCUAAAACCUCGAGAUCUAAUCUGAGACACUUCUUAGCUCCAAUGGGUUUGCGUCUUUCUGAACAUCUCCUCAUCCAAUGCAGUUACCUUGGCUCUCCUCCUAAUAUACAAAAUGAAACUAGUGAGUUACUCUCUCAGAGGUCAUUUCUCAAACACUUUCUGUGUAUUACACAUCCCAAAAAAUUUCACUGACACAUUGCCGUGGACCAUUAAUACUAGGUUUCUUCUUGUUUCAGGGCUUCUUUAUUCGUUAUUCAGGCAAAUUGGGAUCGAAGAUAAAGAAAUUAAAUUAAUUUUGGAGCAGAACCCAUCUCUAACUUCGACAACUUUGGACUCCGUACGAGCCCGAGUUUUUCUUUUACAGUCAGCUGGAAUUAAAGGCAUUGAACUAUAUCGUUUGAUUAUCAAAUGCCCAAAUGUAUUAACAGCUGAGGAAAUCGAUUACUUCUUUCACUUCGUGCUUAAUAGUUUGCCAGGAAAGAUUGAACCGCUGCAGCUCAAACGCCUUAUGACUGCCACUGAACCUAGAUUCUUGGUGGGUUUUGAUCGUAAGGUUAUGCUUCUCCUUGAUCAUGGAGUUCCCCAAGAAAAGAUUGUUCACAUUCUGAAUAAUGUAAAUUUAACCAAGGCAAUGUGCUUCAAGUCAAUCGAAGAAAUUGAUAGAACCACUACUUUCUUGAGCCGCUUUGGUGGAAUUAAUAUAAUUGUUAGGCGUCCAAUGAUUCUGAAUUUUGAUUUGGAUACUCAGCUGAUUCCAAGAGUAGAGUUUCUCAAGGAGCUUAGCGGAGGAGAUGAAGAUGCCACGAGGACUUUGUUGUGCAAACUCCCCGCAAUAUUGAGUUACAGUGUGGAGCACACAAAGGAGCAUGUAGAGUUGCUGAGGUCGUUUGCUGGCCUGACUGACCCACAAAUAUUCAAAAUUUUUGUAGUGUUCCCAAAUGUGAUUAGUGCAAGCAAGGAGAGGAAGUUGCUUCCUAGAAUAGGCUUUCUCAAGCAAUGUGGGUUGAAUUCUGAUGAUAUAUUCAAGUUCUUGACUAAAGCCCCCUUGUUUCUAGGCCUCUCCUAUGAAGAGAACCUUGUCCAUAAGCUUGUAUUUUUGGUGAAGAUUGGUUAUGAAUAUAGAACUAGGGAAUUGGCUGACGCACUGGGGGCUGUAACAAGAACAAGCUGUGAUAAUUUGCAAAAGGUGAUUGGGCUAUUCUUUAGUUAUGGGUUUUCUUCUGCAGACAUUCUUGCCAUGAGCAAAAAGCACCCUCAGAUUCUGCAAUACACCUAUAGUUCUCUCCAGGAAAAGAUGGAGUACUUGACUGAGGGAAUGGGUAGAGAAGUUGGAGAGCUAUUGGCUUUUCCUGCAUUUCUUGGUUACAAGCUUGAUGACAGGAUUAAGCAUAGGUAUGAAGCAAAAAAGAAAGUUAUAGGGGAAGGGAUGUCCCUCAAUAAGCUCUUGAGCGUAUCAGCUGAUAGAUUUUCAGCUGAGAAGGAAAAAUCCCAUUCUUGAUUGGCAGCUGAAUGAGUUGGAAAAUUUAGAUGGAGUUAGAUAAACUAUUUAAUAUGGCCCUAAGCUGCCUCCUCACCAUCCAGGAGAGGAAGAAAUUGAUGUUUUUAUCUCAAAUUUCAUUGAAGCUUGAAUGAACUUUGCUUAUGGACAAGUUUUGUUGAUGUCAACCAAAUUUGUAUUUUUUUUAGUCCAGUUUCCAGGGUAUUUAACCAUCCUGUUUCCCAAAAAUGCCAUCAAAUGGAACUUCCAAUUCAUUUGCAUUAACUAUUCUAUCCAUAUAAAUUUUGCCACAACUCUUCUGACUAUUUUGGUGGUUCAACCUGCACAGAACCUCACUUCUUUGGAAAAUUAGAGAUUGUUUUCUUGUUUGUUAUCGUGACAUUGUACAUUUAGCUUUAAUUUCUGCAACAUAUUCCAAGUUGAACACUCCAAAAAUUAUUGAUCACUUCCAUGUCGUCUUCUUCUUUUUCUUUUUCUUUUUCCUGGAAGGGGGGGGUAUGCUUUUAUCCACCUUAGGAAGAUUGAUAAAUUGAUGGUUUUCCAUAGGAAGGGCCAAACCUAUUUGUUGGUGUAAAAACAUAUUUAAGAAGUUCAUGAGCCUAGCCUGGCAUGGUCCAAUGGCUGAAGGCAUAUAUCACACCUGGCAGACCCAGGUUCGAGUCCCCACUCCCUCGGUUCUCUACUCAAAA